GAGCUGCGCGUGCCCGGCUGAGCGCACCCCCGAGCCCCGCGCGCGUGCGCGGCGCCUUCGCCCUGUCCGCGUUGGGUGUGGGGAGCGUUGAGUGCGGAACACAAACAAACGUAAAAACAGCGUUUUAUGGGUGUCUCAAUGCCACAUAUGGCUCCCAUAUUCGAGCAUCUCUGCUGUGGAGGUGACACCACCCUCCACACAUCAGGAGACUCCGGAGGAGACCAGAUCUGCAACAGUGGAGAUGCUUGGGGUGAGACCACCUCUUCUGUCCCUGAAUGUCCAUGGUCACUUGUCACCACGUCCUGCCCUGCAGAGUGGAUGUGCUGGUUUUGGCUGGUCUAGAGUUAAUUUGCUUCACAGUAGCUGGUCUGGGGCUGUGUUCUGGAUUUGUACUGAACACAGGGUUGAUAAUGUAGUGAUGUUUUUGUUAUUGCUGAGUAGGACUUACACAGAGCUGAGGCCAUUCCUGCUUUUCCUACAGCCAGGCUGGUGAGGAAGCUGAGUGUACAGGGGAGGCUGGGAGGAAACACAGCCAGGACAGGUGACCCAAACUGACCAAAGGGAUAUUCCAAACCAUGUACUUAGGAUGAAUAAAUAAAGUGGAGGGAAGAAGGAGGAAGGGGGAGGUGUUUAGAAUGAUGGUGUUUGUUUUCCAAAGUAACUGUUUUGUGUGAUGGAACCAUGUUCAUGCUCUCCUGGAGAUGGCUGAACACCUGGCUGCCUAUUGGAAACAGUGAAUUAAUUCUUGGUUUUACUUUGCUUGUGUAAUUGGCUUUUGCUUUCCUUAUUAAAUGGUCUCUGUCUCAAUCCACAA